AGGGAAUCUUCCACAAUGGACGAAAGUCUGAUGGAGCAACGCCGCGUGAGUGAAGAAGGGUUUCGGCUCGUAAAGCUCUGUUGGUAGUGAAGAAAGAUAGAGGUAGUAACUGGCCUUUAUUUGACGGUAAUUACUUAGAAAGUCACGGCUAACUAC
rnacentral:rRNA from 1 species